GACAGAGGUCCCGAGCGUUAGGCGGAAUCACUGGGCUUAAAGCGUGUGUAGGCGGAGUGCUAAGUACCUUGUGAAAUCCCACGGCUUAACCGGGGAACUGCGUCUGAUACUGGAUGGCUAGAGUGUGGGAGAGGGAUGCGGAAUUCCAGGUGUAGCGGUGAAAUGCGUAGAUAUCUGGAGGAACACCGGUGGCGAAGGCGGCAUCCUGGACCACGACUGACGCUGAGUGAGCGAAAGCCAGGGGAGCAAACGGG
rnacentral:rRNA from 1 species